AUUGAACGCUGGCGGCAGGCCUAACACAUGCAAGUAGAGCGGAGCGGCGGCCGGGUGAGUAAUGCCUAGACAUCUGCCUGGUAGUGGGGGAUAACGUACGGAAACGGGCGAUAAUACCACAUACUAUCAGAUGAGCCUAUGUCGGAUUAGCUAGUUGGGGGGGAAAAGGCCUACCAAGGCUACGAUCCGUAACUGGUCUGAGAGGAGGAUAAGUCACACUGGAACUGAGAAACGGUCCAGACUGCUACGGGAGGCAGCAUGGGGGAAUAUUGGACAAUGGGCGAAAGCCUGAUCCAGCCAGGCCGAGUGUGUGAAGAAGGUCUUCGGAUUGUAAAGCACGUUAAGUUGGGAGGCGUUACCAACAGAAUAAGCACCGGCUAACUUCGUGCCAGCAGCCGCGGUAAUAC
rnacentral:rRNA from 1 species